rnacentral:rRNA from 1 species
AGGAUAAACGCUGGCGGCGUGCAUGAGACAUGCAAGUCGAACGGACGAUCAGGGCUUGCUCUGAUCGUUAGUGGCGGACGGCUGAGUAACGCGUAGGUGACCUGCCCCGAAGUGGGGAAUAACUGCCCGAAAGGGUGGCUAAUACCGCAUGUGGUGGUGUGUUCAUUCACACCAGUAAAGCCGCAAGGCGCUUCGGGAGGGGCCUGCGUCCGAUUAGCUCGUUGGUGGGGUAACGGCUCACCAAGGCGACGAUCGGUAGGUGGUCUGAGAGGACGAUCACCCAGACUGGGACUGAGACACGGCCCAGACUCCUACGGGAGGCAGCAGUCGGGAAUUUUGCGCAAUGGACGAAAGUCUGACGCAGCAACGCCGCGUGAGGGAUGAAGGCCUUCGGGUUGUAAACCUCUUUUAUCAGGGAAGAUAAUGACGGUACCUGGCGAAUAAGCCACGGCUAACUACGUGCCAGCAGCCGC